AGAUGUGGGGGUUCUGGCUGCCACAUCUGUCAGUCCCUUGAUCGCCAGGGUUGAUUUAGCUAAUCUCAUUGGCUAGUCAGGUAUUCCAUUCCUCUUUCACCGAUCCUUGUUUGUUGUGGGCUCAGCAGAAGAGAACAAGCUUCCCCAAAUAGGGGAGGACUCAUCUUUGGUAAAGUGUAUAUGAGUAAUUGCGGUCCCCUCCUAGAACCCCCAAACAAGCUCUCAAAAAAAAAACAAAAAGAGGGGCUGGAGAGAUGGCUCAGUGGUU
rnacentral:snRNA from 1 species